UUGAAGCCUGCCUUAUCUACACAGUGAGGUCCAGGACAGCCAGGGAAACACGGGGAAAUCCUGCCCCAAUAAACAAACAAACAAACAAAAAAAAAAACAAACAAAACAAAAUUUCCUGGAGAGCAGAAUGGAGAGGCACACAUCUAGAAUCCUAGUUCUGAGGAGAUUGAGACAGAAAUGUGAAGAAUUAAGUUCUAGUCUUUGCUAUCUUAGAGAUCCAGACCAGCCUGAGCCACUGAGAACCCCACCUCCAGCCGAUGAAACAAAUGAGCAAAGAAAAACCACAAGCCCCCUGUGACAUAUUUAUAGUGAGUCAAGAUCAUAAGAACUGUUCAAAAUUAAAUAGGGAGGACAACCUGAAACAUCACGAUCACAAGGGGAUCUGGGAAAGACUUUAGAACUAAGGGGUCUGGGUUCCAGACUGGCACCAAACCAAAAAAAAUCCCACAAAAACAAACUAACAAAAAAAAAAAAGAAAGAAAGAAAGAAAGAAAGAAAGAAAGAAAGAAACAAAAUAAAAGCAAAAACCAACCAAACGAAAAAACAUAGUUUCUUAUUGCUAGGCGCCUCAGUAAGUUGACAGUUACCUGGAGAGGCUCAGGAAGGAAGCAGGCAAACCUGAGUAUAAUCUGGUUACUUAGUGAAACCUUAAUUAAAGCAAAAGGAACAAACAAGCCAGCAAUCAAACAAAAACCCCAAAUCACAUGAAUUUCCGAAAUUGCCAAGUGGCACCUGAGGCAACUGUAUCCUGCCUCCCUGGGGCACUGAAAUGACACAAUGAAGCCAGUUUUCCUUUGGGUGCACUCCUGUGGUCCCUAGCUUCCUGUCAGUUCCUGUCAAGGAGGAGGAGCGUGUUGGGUGUGGUGGCACACACCUUUAAUCCCAGCACCUGGAGGGAUCAAGGCAGCCUGGGCUACUUAGAGAGUUUCUAGUCAGCCUGGGCUACAAGGAGAUCCUGUCUUAAGGGAGGGAAAAAGGUGAGAGACUAAUCCUGGGCCUUCCUAUUCCAACUCACCCAUCCCUCACCAUAUAUAUAUAUAUGACUGGAACUGCCUUUGCACUAAGCUACCAGCUGCCUGGAAUUGCUCUGUUGUAAAGCCAGGAGGAGCCUACACGAGACAGGAAUGAGCGACCCACACGGGAAGGCGUGGUGGAAUAUACCCGACUACUUUCACAGCCCACUAAUGUUUUACAUGGAAGAGGACCAGGAGGAAUACAUAUUUGGCCCGGAGGAUGAAUACCUUCGCCGCAUGGAGGUCCACAGCAACACCCUCAUUCAGCUGGAAAGGGGAUUCACAGCCUCAGGCCAAACUCGGGUCUCUGUAGUGGGACCGAUUCAGGCAAGGCUGUGGGUGAUGAACAUGAUCACAAAAGUGGGGAGUCAGAACACUUUCGAUCAGACCACAGGCAAGAUAAUGCUACUACGGAUCCGGAGUCAGCCUCUGUCGGAGCAAGACCUGAAAUUUGAUCCAGAAUCGGGGAGCAGUCUUUGGUUUCCAGAUUGAGUGGUGGGACUUCUGUGGAAGCUACUCAUCACUUGAGGUUUCCUGUGGUAGUAGUUUGGUGGUUUAGGGGUUCUGUUAGAAUUCUUUGUGUUCACAAUUUCACAGAUCUCCUUUGGUAACUGUUUUGGGGAAGCAGCAGGUUGGGGAGGGGGAGAGGUUCUU